GCUCCAAUAGCGUAUAUUAAAGUUGUUGCGGUUAAAAAGCUCGUAGUUGGAUUUCUGUUGAGAACAUGCGGUCCGUGUUUUGCACGAGUAUCGCCUUGGUCUCGGCAUCCUCUUGGGGAACGUUGCUGUGCUUUACUGCGCGGCACGGUAUUCAAGACUUUUUACUUUGAGGAAAUUAGAGUGUUCACGGCAGGCAAUCG
rnacentral:rRNA from 1 species